rnacentral:misc_RNA from 1 species
UAGAGAUUAGUGAGUGGAACAGAAAUUCUAAAACAAAACAGACUUUGAGAUGACUAAUUAACUCAAGAAAUUGAAAAAUAUCAACUGAACAAAUGGCAUCUAAGCAUCUAACACUAAUUUUCCUGAUAUCAAAUAAAACACACAUGCACAUCCAUUUCCCAAUUUCAAAGCAACUAUCUCAUCAUUGUUUAUUAGCACUAAUGAUCACUCAGUUGGCACAGACUACAGAGAAAUAUGAACAGAAAAUAGGAGUACUAAAAUCUGCUGAUGCUAACAGGUGCAUAUAUGUAUGGUACACAACAUCAAUAAACCAUUUGUUGUUGAAGAACUUCACUAGCGGGGGUAAA